rnacentral:lncRNA from 1 species
AAAGGGUCUCAGGUUGGUUUAUUGCUAUGGUGUCUGCCUGCAAUACAAAUAUUCACAGAUUCCAACAAGGCAAUUACAAAAAUCUGAUUUGUAGGUGUAAUAAUGUUCGUACAUGGACAAUAUACAGGGGGGAAAAAAACCCCAGCUAUCUACAAGGAGAAGAUAAUUUAGAAACAGGUUCAAGAAGGAAAUCAAGACAAUCAUGGUCAAACAUAGCUAUUUAUUUUCUCUUAUAAACAGCCUUCAGCUUCUCAUUGAAAAAAACCUAGAAUUUAAAUAUUCUGUCCCAUCACAUACAACAAUCUGUAUACAAUAUUUACAACUCUCAAAUAAACAUGGUGCAGAUUUUCAGACAUUCAACUUUUUUCCUUUGUAAUUAAAAGCUGUUCUUAUUUAAAACUACAAUAUUGAUCAGUGACUACCAGCGGAAGCGGUAUUGGCACAGUUAGCUCACAGUAAGGGUUCUCAUCUUGCACUCUGUAUUUUACAACACAUUUUAUCCCAUAUAUUUCAGGAUUCUAAAGGAGGAGACAAGGUUAGUGUUGCUUUCAUCAUCUCCAAUUUCUUUUUUGCCUUCAAAAACAGCCUUUUAUUGAAACCUCCUUCACUUUAUUGCCUUCUCUCUCUUGCGUGGCACAUCAAGGCAUGAUGUGCCUCUAGGUACUAAGUAACACCACCACAGUGUAGUCAAGUAGUACCACAAGCCUCGGAAAUAAGUGUUCCCUCCAUGACACGUCUCUGAAAAAUGUUCCAAGUUGCAAAUGUACAAAAAUAAUGAGUAUAGUUUAGUGGCUAUAAAAAUUAAUUUCCCCUAAAAAUACAAUACUCUAUGAACACUUUAGGGAGUUGGAAAGCAGGAAAAUCAAAAGGUUUAACACUUAGAAUAACCAAUGUUAGUCUCAUCCUAGAAGAGAAGAUAUCCAGGGAAUGAUGAGGGCAUCCAUAAAACUGCUAGUGGUUUUAAUAGUGCAGCUUGGAAAAAAACAACUGGUAUCAGCAGGGAAGGAAACUGGACCUGGCAUAACAGGGAAUCUUUUAAUGAAAGGGAAGCAAGGAGCCUGUGUUCAAGCCACAGCUUUUUAAUAGUCCAACGGAAAGGGGGUGGUUUAUAUACAGUAAUAGAGCACUCCACCAGGUAGGACGGGUGAGAGGGCAGCGAGAAAAGGAACAACUAUCCAAAAGGGAUGUGUUUAGAGUGAAAUUGUGUCUGGUGGUUCCAGAGAAAGGAAGGGAAGGUGAGAAAUCUGGAAGGUAAGUAAAGUCCAUAGCAGCAAAUAGGUAUCCUUACCUGUUACGUGCGUGUCAGGGAGACUGGGAGAAUAUUCCGUUCCUAAAUACUGAGUAAGGAGAGUGCUCCUCUCUAGCGUAAAGUAAAAGCAAAAGUCCAAAGCUCUACAUUGCAUAGUAAGCAGUAAAAGAAACUUGAUACUUGCAGAUGGGCCACCUGCCCAUGGAAACCUGUUUUCUCCCUUCCUCUAGCAUUCAGCUACCUGCAACAGCAGAACAUGGCGGGUUUAUUUUCUAUUUGCAUGAUUAACUCGAAUCCCUGCCUUGAAUUUGAAAGACUGGAACGUGACGUAUCCACACCACCUCAGCAGUGCCAUCACUGGCAGCGGUGGCUGAACUUGACCUGCUUGGCAGCGCCUGCCCCAUCCCAUCUCGAGGUAGAUGAACCUCCUGAAGUUACCACCCAAGUCACUGACGUGCUCCGAGAUGCCGGUGGCUGGAAACCACCACAAACCAUAGGAUUUAAGGACCCAUUUACAUGGGAAGGCCUAAGGCAGUGCUGGCAGCCCAGACUGGCUCAACCCCACCAGCACUUUCCACUUCCAGUGACAGCAAAGCUCAGUUUUAGUCUGAUGACACCAGAGUGCACUUUAACGUGGCCUGGAGCAGCGCAGGGUUUGUUCAGGAUUCGUUUCUCUGGGGUUUAUUUGGGGGGCGAGAGGGUGCCCUCCUGUUUCCGCCCAAUAAAUGCACUAUUUUAUCAACACAUUCACUCCACCCAGACUCCAUCUGUACAUCAUGGCAACUUCUGUUUAGCAUUUCAAUGUGCCCUUGCUUCAAGAGUGUAAACACGCAUCAGCUUCUGGUCCCACACCUUUUUGAAGCAAAAAGCUGCAAAUAUAAACAGCAUAGGGAUACUAAAUCCCAAAUGCUGCAUACAUGUCUUCGAUAUUGUUAUUUUCAAGUGUUGUUGUAUAAUUAAACAAUGUGUUCAUAGAGCUGUCAGGCAAAUCAUGAUCUCCAAGCUUUUAUUACAGGCCUAGGAGCUAGUCUGUAACAGGGUUUUCUACUGCCAGAUACUAAAUCCAAAGAACACACUAUCCACGUGAGACUCAUUUUUUGCAUAAGAAAUUCUAAUUCUGACUGGCUGAACUGCACCAGAUGCCUCUAAAUUUCUAGAAUUGGCUAUUUAAAAGAGAAAAAAAAAAAAAAAAAAGCAAACCACUUCCCAAAGCAGAAGUAUGCCAAAAAUGAGAGCUACUGCACUGGUAUCACUCCAAGCAAAUCCUAACACUUCCAAAUAUUUUUCUUUCAAGUUUCUUGCUGGUACAUGACACCAAACCAAUGAGACAGCUUGAAAUCUAAUGGAGGUUAUCUCCAAUUUAGCACCUUGGAGCAGGCUUCUGCCAUUCUCCUGUGUCUUGCUGUGAUAACUUGAGCUCUAGCAUGGGUCAAGAAGGCUCCUCUCAAGUGUUAUCAGCACAGGGAACAUGCACAUGCAGCCUCUCCAGCA